CCCUUAGAUGUUCUGGGCCGCACGCGCGCUACACUGAUGCAUUCAACGAGCCUAUCCUUGACCGACAGGUCCGGGUAAUCUUUGAAUCUGCAUCGUGACGGGGAUAGAUUAUUGCAAUUAUUAAUCUUCAACGAGGAAUGCCUAGUAGGCGCAAGUUAUCAGCUUGCGUCGAUUACGUCCCUGCCCUUUGUACACACCGCCCGUCGCUCCUACCGAUUGGGUGUGCUGGUGAAAUGUUCGGAUCGGCCGUUUGUCGCGGUUUCCGCGUCAUGUGGCUGAGAAGUUCAUUAAACCCUCCCACCUAGAGGAAGGAGAAGUCGUAACA
rnacentral:rRNA from 1 species